rnacentral:rRNA from 1 species
UACGUAGGGACCAAGCGUUGUUCGGAUUUACUGGGCGUAAAGGGCGCGUAGGCGGCACUUCAAGUCAUCUGUGAAAUCUCCGGGCUUAACUCGGAACGGUCAGAUGAUACUGCUUUGCUAGAGUGCGGAAGGGGCAAUCGGAAUUCUCGGUGUAGCGGUGAAAUGCGUAGAUAUCGAGAGGAACACCGGAGGUGAAGACGGGUUGCUGGGCCGACACUGACGCUGAGGCGCGAAAGCCAGGGGAGCAAACGGG